rnacentral:rRNA from 1 species
UACGUAGGGAGCGAGCGUUGUCCGGAUUUAUUGGGCGUAAAGAGCGCGUAGGCGGCCGGGUAAGUCGGGUGUGAAAACUCCAAGCUCAACUUGGAGCGGCCACUCGAUACUGCUCUGGCUAGAGUCUGGUAGGGGAUCACGGAAUUCCUGGUGUAGCGGUGAAAUGCUUAGAUAUCAGGAGGAACACCGGUGGCGAAGGCGGUGAUCUGGGCCAGUACUGACGCUGAGGCGCGAAAGCGUGGGGAGCGAACAGGAUUAGAAACCCUGUAGUCC